GACGAACGCUGGCGGCGUGCCUAAUACAUGCAAGUAGAACGCACAGAAUGCACCGUAGUUUACUACACCGUAUUCUGUGAGUUGCGAACGGGUGAGUAACGCGUAGGUAACCUGCCUGGUAGCGGGGGAUAACUAUUGGAAACGAUAGCUAAUACCGCAUAAGAACAUUUACUGCAUGGUAGAUGUUUAAAAGGUGCAAAUGCAUCACUACCAGAUGGACCUGCGUUGUAUUAGCUAGUAGGUGAGGUAACGGCUCACCUAGGCGACGAUACAUAGCCGACCUGAGAGGGUGAUCGGCCACACUGGGACUGAGACACGGCCCAGACUCCUACGGGAGGCAGCAGUAGGGAAUCUUCGGCAAUGGGGGGAACCCUGACCGAGCAACGCCGCGUGAGUGAAGAAGGUUUUCGGAUCGUAAAGCUCUGUUGUUAAGGAAGAACGAGUGUGAGAAUGGAAAGUUCAUACUGUGACG
rnacentral:rRNA from 1 species